rnacentral:rRNA from 1 species
AGAGUUUGAUCAUGGCUCAGAUUGAACGCUGGCGGCAGGCCUAACACAUGCAAGUCGAGCGGUAGCACAGAGAGCUUGCUCUCGGGUGACGAGCGGCGGACGGGUGAGUAAUGUCUGGGAAACUGCCUGAUGGAGGGGGAUAACUACUGGAAACGGUAGCUAAUACCGCAUAAUGUCGCAAGACCAAAGUGGGGGACCUUCGGGCCUCAUGCCAUCAGAUGUGCCCAGAUGGGAUUAGCUAGUAGGUGGGGUAACGGCUCACCUAGGCGACGAUCCCUAGCUGGUCUGAGAGGAUGACCAGCCACACUGGAACUGAGACACGGUCCAGACUCCUACGGGAGGCAGCAGUGGGGAAUAUUGCACAAUGGGCGCAAGCCUGAUGCAGCCAUGCCGCGUGUGUGAAGAAGGCCUUCGGGUUGUAAAGCACUUUCAGCGGGGAGGAAGGCGNCGAUUGACGUUACCCGCAGAAGAAGCACCGGCUAACUCCGUGCCAGCAGCCGCGGUAAUACGGAGGGUGCAAGCGUUAAUCGGAAUUACUGGGCGUAAAGCGCACGCAGGCGGUCUGUCAAGUCGGAUGUGAAAUCCCCGGGCUCAACCUGGGAACUGCAUUCGAAACUGGCAGGCUAGAGUCUUGUAGAGGGGGGUAGAAUUCCAGGUGUAGCGGUGAAAUGCGUAGAGAUCUGGAGGAAUACCGGUGGCGAAGGCGGCCCCCUGGACAAAGACUGACGCUCAGGUGCGAAAGCGUGGGGAGCAAACAGGAUUAGAUACCCUGGUAGUCCACGCCGUAAACGAUGUCGAUUUGGAGGUUGUGCCCUUGAGGCGUGGCUUCCGGAGCUAACGCGUUAAAUCGACCGCCUGGGGAGUACGGCCGCAAGGUUAAAACUCAAAUGAAUUGACGGGGGCCCGCACAAGCGGUGGAGCAUGUGGUUUAAUUCGAUGCAACGCGAAGAACCUUACCUGGUCUUGACAUCCACAGAACUUNNNUUGGUGCCUUCGGGAACUGUGAGACAGGUGCUGCAUGGCUGUCGUCAGCUCGUGUUGUGAAAUGUUGGGUUAAGUCCCGCAACGAGCGCAACCCUUAUCCUUUGUUGCCAGCGGUUAGGCCGGGAACUCAAAGGAGACUGCCAGUGAUAAACUGGAGGAAGGUGGGGAUGACGUCAAGUCAUCAUGGCCCUUACGACCAGGGCUACACACGUGCUACAAUGGCAUAUACAAAGAGAAGCGACCUCGCGAGAGCAAGCGGACCUCAUAAAGUAUGUCGUAGUCCGGAUUGGAGUCUGCAACUCGACUCCAUGAAGUCGGAAUCGCUAGUAAUCGUAGAUCAGAAUGCUACGGUGAAUACGUUCCCGGGCCUUGUACACACCGCCCGUCACACCAUGGGAGUGGGUUGCAAAAGAAGUAGGUAGCUUAACCUUCGGGAGGGCGCUUACCACUUUGUGAUUCAUGACUGGGGUGAAGUCGUAACAAGGUAACCGUAGGGGAACCUGCGGUUGGAUCACCU